GUUUAUCGAGAGUUGCCAGUUGAAUUUUAUCUGCUGAACUGAGAAAAUGUUUAGUUCUUCUUGGUGUUGCACUGAACUCAGCAGUCCAGUGAAACAUGUACCAAAUGAAUAACCAUGCAUUUCUGUCAAUCUUCAAAUUUACCAAUUUGACGACCAGGAUGCAAUAGGACUUGACUAUAAUGUUAUAUUUGAGAUAGGGACAAUUAAUGAGGGUG